rnacentral:rRNA from 1 species
GACGAACGCUGGCGGCGUGCCUAAUACAUGCAAGUAGGACGCAGUUGCGAACGGGUGAGUAACGCGUAGGUAACUGCCUCUUAGAGGGGGAUAACUAUUGGAAACGAUAGCCAAUACCGCAUACUAGUAGAUGGACCUGCGUUGUAUUAGCUAGUAGGUAGGGUAAUGGCCUACCUAGGCGCCGAUACAUACCCGACCUGGGAGGGUGAGGGGCCACACUUGGACUGAGACACGGCCCCGAAUCCUACGGGAGGCAGCAGUAGGGAAUCUUCAGCAAUGGGGGGAACCCUGACCGAGCAACGCCGCGUGAAUGAAGAAGGUUUUCGGAUCGUAGAGCUCUGUUGUUGAGGAAGCGGUACUUAACCAGAAAGGGACGGCUAACUACGUGCCAGCCGCCGCGGUAAUUC